rnacentral:lncRNA from 10 species
GCCGUCUCGACCACCCUCCGCAGAAAAGCCCCAGGGAUUCCGCACUGACCCGGCACUUUCCCAGGCUUCACUCCGGCUCCAGGCUGAGGAACCACCGCACCUGGCACAGAAGGGGCUGCAUCAGAGUUGGCUCCACCCAGGCCUGCAACUUUGACCCAGGGAGUUCGGGGAUAGCCAUCGUACCUGCAGACACUCCUAAGCCACCAACUCCUGGGACACCACCAAGCCCAGCGCCUGCAGAGCCAGGACAGAGAUGGGGUCUUGUGGCUGGGCACGGUGGCUUGAGCCUGUCAUCCCAGCACUUUGGGAGGCCGAGGUGAGUGGAUCACUUGAGGCCAGGAGUUCGAGACCAGCCUGGCCAACAUGGUGAAACCCCGUCUCUACUAAGAAUACAAAAAUUAGCCGAGCGUGGUGGUGCACACUGGUAAUUCCAGCUAUUUGGGAGGCUGAGACACAAGAAUCACUUGAACCGGGGAGGUGGAGGUUGUGGUGAGCUGAGAUCAACUGCACCAGGUGCGGGGAGCUGAGACUGAGCCACUGCACUCCAGCCUGGGUGACAGAGUGGGACUCUGUCUCAACAACAACAAGAACAACAAAAGAGAUGAGGUCUUUCUCUGUCGCCCAGGCUGGAGUGCAGUGACAUGAUCAUAGCUCUCUGAAGCCUCAGCCUCCUGGGCUCAAGGGAUCCUCUCACUUCAGCCUUCCUGAAAACUGCAUGGAUCUUUUGGGGUCAAAUUUCCCCACCCACCUCCUCUAGAAUGCCUUCCUGAACCCCUGCUGAGUUAAGCGACUCCCUUGGGCUUCCUUGGUCCAUGGGGCUUCCUCCAUGCAGCCUUCACUACUAUGUUAUAAAGGAACCCAGGUACUCAGCUGUGAUUUCCUCAUGUCCUGGGCAGCUGCUUGGGGCAGUUGGUAUCAGCAUCAGUCCCCGUCAGUGCCCAGGACGGAACCUGGCCUGCACCCUUGUUCCAUGACCGUGCUGCAUACCAGCCCUGGGUUGAGCUCAGGGGCUGGUCCCCACAGGGGAUAUCUUUCUUGGGUGUCAGCACUCACCUGCCCCAAGGCCAGCACCCGCAAGCCCUCCGGGAACUGUGGAUAAGAAACAGAGACAGGAGUGUAGGCAGUGUUCCUAGGCCCAGAGUGGGAAAUGUCUCCUGGAGUUAGGGCAGUGCUGUGAUCAGCCACUCAGGUCCCUAGGCUGGUCCCUAAGCCUGUGAUGCUCAGGGUCGAUCCUGAUAAAAUAGCAUCCACCAGUAGUUUAGUGAGCGACUACUAUGUGCAGUGCAGGUGUCAUUGCACCGAUCCCUAACAAGCCUGGGCCAGGCCUGUGCUUCUCCUAGAAGCCCUGCUGGCUAAC